AACAACCCACUACUCUAUUGUCGAUUAACUCCAAGGAGGUGUUUGAGAAAGUGCGGAAAGUAUUGAAUCACGACACAAUGUCACUUUGGCGGUAUCUUAAGAAGCUCCCUCCCUUAGAGCUCCAGCACCAACAAGAUGAAUUGCGUGCAUUAUCAAAUACGCUGACGGCCUGGACCCCUGAAAUGUAUGAAACCACAUCCCACAAGAAGCUUGGGUUAGAUCAAGCCCUGAUCCAAAUGAUUUCAAAUGACAUGCAGCCCAUUUCUAUUGUGGAGGAUGGUGUUUUCGGGAAUUUUUGCCAAGCCAUGAAUCCCAAGUUCCCCUCAAGACAAGUCAUUUCGAAGACAUUAAUCCCAGCCAUGUUUGAAGAGGCGCAAAGAAAAUUGGGGUAAAAGCUUGUACAAGCCAAAUGGGUGUGUUUUACCACUGAUUCGUGGACUUCCGCCACUGCCACUGGCUUCUUGGCACUCACCAUUAAUUUUUGGGAUCACGAAGCAUCAACCCUGCAAUGCUUUGUUCUGGAUUGCUUGAGGAUAUGGGGACGUCAUUCGGCUGAUCAAUUGGGUGAAGAAAUGAGAGCUGUGUUGAUUAAAAAUGAAAUCAUUUCCAAAACUACGGACAAUGGGGCAAAUAUCGUCAAGGCAUUGCAAAACAUUAUCAUCAAGCACAUGGCCUGUUAUGCGCAUACGCUAAAUCUGGUUGCAAAUGCGUCUUUAAGAGAAACUCCAGCCUUAGCUGCAGCCAAGGAAGCUGCUUCAAGACUGGUUGAAAUAACCAAAUGAAGCACGCCAACCUUGGAAAGAUUUGAACAAAUUCAACGUAAUCAGGGUUUCCCCACGGUAAAGAAAUUGAUCCAGGAUAUUUCAACUCUACUUUCGAAAUGAUGAACUGUCUAGUCAAGCUGAAAGGACCCGUUUCAGAACUCCUGACGGAGCCUGGAAUGAGCUCCAAUGUUGGCAUGGUUGACUCGACAAUGUGGGAGGUGCUUCAUGAAGCAGUUGAUGUACUUCAACCAUUGUAUGAAGCCACUUUGGCGCUUUCUGAUGAAAAAAAACACUAAUGGAUCAAAGGGUACUCCCCUCACCAAGAUGCUGAUUUUACGAUACGUCAAUUUCACUGCGCAGUCCCUUUCCGGACUGAUAAAGCACGACCUGGCCCAAGCUAUUCCUAGAAAUCUCAAUCGUCGAUUUUGGGAAGUUGAAAAAGUCAAGGAACUAGUGCUUCCAACUCUCUUGGAUCCACGGUUCAAGGCUCAUGGAUAUCCACUUGAAAAACGAAGCCCUAGACAUCUUAAUUUCUGAGCUGGUUGGCCUGUAUUCGCCCACAAAUCGAGAUCGACCCCCCAAAGCUCAGCCAAGCAACCACGAUCUUCUCUCUGGGAGCCUUUUGACAAGGAUGUUGCUCAAUGCGAAACCAGGAAUACUGAGACCUAUCCGGACAUUGCCCAUACUCACCUUCAUAUCUACCUUUACCUCCCUUGCCAGCCUAGGCAUACCGAUCUGUUCAAUUGGUGGGUGAGGAUUGGCCAAGAAAAAAUUCCCUUCCUCUUCCUCUUGGCCCCAAAGUUACUAACAUUCCUGCCACUUCCGUACCCUCUGCGAGAGCGAAGAAACGGAAUCGAAUUGGCGACGAGUGUGCCCGGAAGCUAAUCUGGUAGAGGCUGGCCAGGUUUUUUUCCGCCAACAAUGCUAGUGCGCACAAAAUCGAAGCGAAAAAAAUGCUAAUUGGAAUUCGAUAAUGCAAGAACAGUGCUACUUAUUAAAUAAAAGUAAAUUAUUCAUGCUGCUCAUAAAUAAUCUCAGCUUCACAAUUCAAUUAUAUUUGGCACUCUUUGACAGGGUAUGUUCAGGCAACAUCUUGAAAAUUAUACUUUUAGAAAAAAAAAAUUGAAAACCACAAAAAUCUUAAGAAACCCCUGGCAGUAAAAACUGAUACGGUUGUGUUAAUGAUAUUAUCCUAAUUUUGAACCCUGAGUCUUAGAAGGGGACACCCAAAAGUGACAAGUUUUAUAUGAGGAAAAAUGUACUUUCAGGACUCGAAAAAGGUUUUUUUACACACAAUUAAAAUGUAUCUUAUCGCCAAAAAAAUGUUCGUCUUGGGUGAGAUCAGACAUGGAUUAUAUCAAGAAAAUAAGAUUAAUUGGUUUUCUAUUUUGAUUUUUUUGCUAUUUUUGAAUCUUGUGUUUUGGUUUAUCUUAAAUGUGUGGGGGGGAUACCACUCGGAAUACAACGAAACUAACCAAAAUAUUUAUGUUUGUUUGAAUAUUACAAUGAAAUUAAGCCAUACUUACAUUUACUUGAGGAUUUGGUACUUUGUCCCUAUACAUGCAAUGACCAUUUUAAUCAUUCUUUUUAAUUUGUGCUAUCCAACCCAUUUUUUUUCUCGUGUGUCAAAAGUGUGGUCACAUACAGAUAUUUGUCUAAAUCUCCCUUUGAAUUGAAAAGCAAAUAAGAUAAAU